UAGAGUUUGAUCCUGGCUCAGAUUGAACGCUGGCGGCAGGCUUAACACAUGCAAGUCGAGCGGGGAAAGGUAGCUUGCUACCUAACCUAGCGGCGGACGGGUGAGUAAUGCUUAGGAAUCUGCCUAUUAGUGGGGGACAACAUUCCGAAAGGAAUGCUAAUACCGCAUACGCCCUACGGGGGAAAGCAGGGGAUCUUCGGACCUUGCGCUAAUAGAUGAGCCUAAGUCAGAUUAGCUAGUUGGUGGGGUAAAGGCCUACCAAGGCGACGAUCUGUAGCGGGUCUGAGAGGAUGAUCCGCCACACUGGGACUGAGACACGGCCCAGACUCCUACGGGAGGCAGCAGUGGGGAAUAUUGGACAAUGGGCGAAAGCCUGAUCCAGCCAUGCCGCGUGUGUGAAGAAGGCCUUUUGGUUAUAAAGCACUUUAAGCGAGGAGGAGGCUACUUAGAUUAAUACUCUAGGAUAGUGGACGUUACUCGCAGAAUAAGCACCGGCUAACUCUGUGCCAGCAGCCGCGGUAAUACAGAGGGUGCGAGCGUUAAUCGGAUCUACUGGGCGUAAAGCGUGCGUAGGCGGCUUCUUAAGUCGGAUGUGAAAUCCCUGAGCUUAACUUAGGAAUUGCACUCGAUACUGGGAAGCUAGAGUAUGGGAGAGGAUGGUAGAGUUCCAGGUGUAGCGGUGAAAUGCGUAGAGAUCUGGAGGAAUACCGAUGGCGAAGGCAGCCAUCUGGCCUAAUACUGACGCUGAGUACGAGC
rnacentral:rRNA from 1 species